ACGCUGAAGCCAAAGAGCUUUAGUCUGGGAGAGGGGGAGGAAGAGGAUGACGUGUUGGGUUGUGAUUGGUGGUGGUAAUCCAGCUCCGCAUCGUCCAUGUAUCCACCGGAGAACAAACAGAAACAACCUAGUUUGCUGUCGGAAGGUGAGAGAGUACACUUGGGAGAGACAGAAAGAGAUGAUAUGAGAAGUGGAACAAAUUG
rnacentral:lncRNA from 1 species